rnacentral:rRNA from 1 species
CCUACGGGAGGCUGCAGUGGGGAAUAUUGGACAAUGGGGGGAACCCUGAUCCAGCCAUGCCGCGUGUGUGAAGAAGGCCCUCGGGUUGUAAAGCACUUUCAGUGAGGAAGAACGCCUGGUGGUUAAUACCCAUCAGGAAAGACAUCACUCACAGAAGAAGCACCGGCUAACUCCGUGCCAGCAGCCGCGGUAAUACGGAGGGUGCGAGCGUUGAUCGGAAUUACUGGGCGUAAAGCGCGCGUAGGUGGCUUGAUAAGCCGGUUGUGAAAGCCCCGGGCUCAACCUGGGAACGGCAUCCGGAACUGUCAAGCUAGAGUGCAGGAGAGGAAGGUGGAAUUCCCGGUGUAGCGGUGAAAUGCGUAGAGAUCGGGAGGAAUACCAGUGGCGAAGGCGGCCUUCUGGACUGACACUGACACUGAGGUGCGAAAGCGUGGGUAGCAAACAGGAUUAGAUACCCGUGUAGUC